rnacentral:rRNA from 1 species
UACGAAGGGGGCGAGCGUUGUUCGGAAUUACUGGGCGUAAAGGGCGCGUAGGCGGCCCCUUUUGUCGCGUGUGAAAGCCCCGGGCUCAACCUGGGAGGUGCGCGCGAAACGAGGGGGCUUGAGUUCGGGAGAGGAGAGUGGAAUUCCCAGUGUAGAGGUGAAAUUCGUAGAUAUUGGGAAGAACACCGGUGGCGAAGGCGGCUCUCUGGACCGAGACUGACGCUGAGGCGCGAAAGCGUGGGGAGCAAACAGG